UCCGUAGGCGGGCUAAUAAGUCAGGGGUGAAAUCCCACAGCUUAACUGUGGAACUGCCUUUGAUACUGUUAGUCUUGAGUUAUAUGGAAGUAGAUAGAAUGUGUAGUGUAGCGGUGAAAUGCAUAGAUAUUACACAGAAUACCGAUUGCGAAGGCAGUCUACUACGUAUAUACUGACGCUAAUGGACGAAAGCGUGGGGAGCGAACAGGAUUAGAUACCCUGGUAUCC
rnacentral:rRNA from 1 species